UACGUAGGGGGCAAGCGUUGUCCGGAUUUACUGGGCGUAAAGGGCUCGUAGGCGGCCAACUAAGUCAUACGUGAAAUCCCUCAGCUUAACUGGGGAACUGCGUGUGAUACUGGAUGGCUUGGAUUUGGGAGAGGGAUGCGGAAUUCCAGGUGUAGCGGUGAAAUGCGUAGAUAUCUGGAGGAACACCGGUGGCGAAGGCGGCAUCCUGGACCAAUAUUGACGCUGAGGAGCGAAAGCCAGGGGAGCAAACGGG
rnacentral:rRNA from 1 species